UUAAGUAGGUCAUGUCCAGCUUAUUUGCUUUUUAUUUUAAGCUCGACAAACUCUACUUAGCU
rnacentral:precursor_RNA from 1 species